UACCAAAGGAUAAUAGUAUUCCACUGGUCUUA
rnacentral:tRNA from 1 species